rnacentral:lncRNA from 1 species
CAGGUCUGGAGAGUACGGCCUUAUGCCACAACAUCCGGUCAAGGGAUUCAGAUGGCCGAAAGAGAGCCCGCGAAGGUGUCAGACCACAGUCUGAGUUUCGUGUUUGCCUGGUGAUGUUGACUGCAACUACGCGUGGUGGAGCCUAAUACCCGUCCGACUCUACAGUACUAGGAUAAAUUGUGUUGGCACGGUUCAACGUCGCUGACUUGUCGAAGCACUGUGGUUUCACUGUGAUUUGCGAAACUAUGUCAGUUCGCUGUCGAUGUUCUCUCUGCUUGACCUCCCUUAUUUUCUACCUUCAUGGGAUGGGGACGUUUGUCCGCCCGCUGAAUCAAAGACGCGGCGGCGUUGUGUGUGACAUCAGAGCUCGACAGCGAUUUAAAGUCGACCUUUGGUAUCGACGAAUACCGGGGCGUCUUCGAAAUAUUUCUAGGUUGGUACAGAUGAUAUGAUGUCAGACUAAUCUCUCGCCUGCCGAGGCGGUACACGUGAUAUGUUUGUCGAUACUGCGUGUGAGUUUGGGCACCAGUGCAGGUCAGGCCUUCAGGCACCUGCCGUUUCCUUGAAAAACUCAAUUGAUCGUGACAGGCUGAUAGGAUGCUUUUGCGCUGUCGACGCAUGUCGUCGAUCACGGCGUUGCAUCUGCUGGUAGACGUAGGGUGGACGCUUUUUGGAAUUUCGAACAGCG